UAUAUUUCUUAUCAUAACACACAUGUUGUAUGAUAAUGUUCAUAACUCAAGCAUAACUAUUUUCAGAAUUAUUCCCCCUUGAACUUGGAAUUUAUGUUAACAACUAUAACUUCUUGUCAUAAGAAGAAAUACAUGUAUAUUUAUAUCAUAAUUGAUUUUUCUUUAAUAGGUUUGUCUUCCUUACUGCAUCAAGUAUUUAAUUGGUUGAGCUUGCUGUCUGCUGUGACAGCCUUGUUACACUUUGAACUUUGUCCAGGAUAUAACUAUAAAAGGUGGUUGGCUGAUGAUGCAAAUAAUCGGUGAAAGAGCGCCAAUAUGAAGACUUUUACCAGGGACUGGAGUCUGGUUUAAGACAGCUUGGCAUGUUUAGUAUCAAGACUAAACAGUCGCAACAUAAACAAGAUCUCAUACCUGUUGAUAAUAUAUAAGGAGUAGACCUGAGCUGGUGGAGGAAAGGAACAAGGGAAGUAAUUAACAUACCAUACAUAUUUGGCACCGCCUUUGCAGAAACCAACGGUGAAGCACAUGGAGUGAAUGCAGUGAUGUAAAGUCAUAUAGACAAAUGCAAUUAUAAUAAUUGUAAAUGCUAUAAAUAUUGUUUGUAAAUUCUACUAAUAUUUUUAUGCCCCCGCCAUGUAAUGGCCGGGGCAUAUAGUGUUACCCUGUUCCGUCCUUCCGUCAUUCUUCUGUCAUUCCGUCAUCAUCAGUUUCCGUUCAUUAUCUUAAGAACGGUUGCACACAUUCAACUAAAAUUUGACAUUUGGAUAUGUCAUGAGAAAAUACAGGUCAAGUUCGAAUUUGGUCAUGGUUCGAUGAUUUUUGGUAGAGUUAUGCCCCUUUUACUUUGAAAAUAAUAUGAAAUUUUCAGUUUCCGUUCAUUAUCUCCCCAACUGUACAACACAUUCAACUCAAACUUGAUAUAUGGAUAUGUCAUGAGAAAAUACAGGUCAAGUUUAAAUUUGGUCAUGGUUCGAUGAUUUUUGGCAGAGUUAUGCCCCUUUCACUUUGAAAAUAAUAUGAAAUUUUCAGUUUCAGUUCAUUAUCUCCCCAAAGGUACAAUACAUUCAACUCAAACUUGACAUAUGGAUGCGUCAAAGGAAUGCGCAGGUCAAGUUCAAAUUUAGUCAUGGUUCAAUGAUUUUUGGCAGAGUUAUGCCCCUUUCACUUUAAAAAGUAAUAUGAAAUU